GAGACAGAAACGAAAAAAGGUCUUUUUUUUCAUUUUCUGAGACCGGAAGUGGUCAUCAGCAAGUGUGGAGCCAAACGACAACAAGAUUCUCAGAGGGCGGAGCCAGAGAGCAGCGAUUGGUCAGACCAUAGAUCAUAUUGAAGACAGCGCGCUAGCAUAUCUGUUCUAUGUAUAUCUAUGGUCGGCACGUCUGGUAGCAUCUCUGGCUGCUGUUGACCUUGUUUUUGGAGUAAAACACGGUGGAAGCUGAAUUAGUAAGGAUGACUCCUGCUCCUGUCAUCUCUAAGCUCCUCACACAUCUUUACCUGCACAUGAGGAAAAUCACUCCUGUAGAAUGCAGAUGUUCAGAGGGAGAUGAUGCCACAUCUGGUCCAGCUGAUGGAAGGUCUUGAAGUUCUCUGACUGGCCUCGACUGAAGAUGGUCGUCUCACUGGAUUUAAGGUUCAGAUGCUCCGUAACAAACUCCACCAAUGAGCCAACAGGGAAGCUUUAGGUUUAUUAAAUGUUGCUAUGAAGGUUUCACUGUUUUUCUUUGUGAAUGCAAUGUGCUCCAACUGAAACUUGAAUUAGAACUUAGAAGUAAAUCCUUCCAUUUGAAAGGAUUUAGUUGCAUUAAUAACCUGAUAACAUUCAAAUUUUUAUUCCAGUCUUGGUUGGAAAUAGAAUCUCUGUAUUGAUUCAGGUAAAAACUGAACUUCACAGCAUGUUGAAGCAAAACAACCAGAUGAAAACUGUGAUGGCGUUGGAUUGUCAGACCGUAAUGUUGCAGCUCAAAGCAGCUUUUCUAGCUCAGUUCAUUCUGACAUUCAGCUAUGAAUCAACACAGCAGAUGGUGAUCCAUGCUGUGGAAGUCUCACAUCUCCUGAUUUAAUGGAGCUGCUUUGCACUUUUUACACUCUUUAUUCACCAACACUUUAUUUAAUAAAAGUCCCAUCUAGUUUUUAUGAGGAAUGUGAUGUUUUAAUUUCUCUGUGAAUAACUGCAGUCUAAUGCAACAGCUGGAGUUGUAACAUCUGUCCUGAUAUUGAUCAUGAAGUAUUGAUCAGAAUACUUAUGGUUAGUAGUCAUCCCUGAAGUUUUACAUUAAAAUCUUUACUUGUGUUGUGAACUUUGGUAAGAAGCAGAAACGUUAGCGUUGCCAUGGAUACAUGAGUGUUAAAUUCUGUCCAUGUUUCCAUUUUGGGAAAUGCAGUCCAGUUCCAGAAUGUGGAAGAAUUUAGUCUCACAAUCACAGACAACAAAUAUUAACUGAAAGUCGGGUUAUUGUUGUUUAUCAGCACAAUACAAAAAGAUUAAUGUUAGAAAUAUUCCAGUUAAGACUCUAGAAUACCAUGAUUUAUGUAUAUUUACC
ensembl:lncRNA